rnacentral:rRNA from 1 species
AGCUCCAAUAGCGUAUAUUAAAGUUGUUGCAGUUAAAAAGCUCGUAGUUUGAUUUCUGGACGGGCGCUAACACCCGCUUGCUAGUGAGGAGGCGGCGCCCGCCCAUCCUUCUGUUAACGCCAUCGGCAUUCAUUUGCUGGCGGCGGGCUCAGAUAUUUUACCUUGAGAAAAUUAGAGUGUUUCAGGCAGGCUUGCGCCUAGAUACAUUAGCAUGGAAUAAUAGAAUAGGACUUUGGCCUCUUCUGUUGGUCUGAGGGGUUAGAGUAAUGAUUAAUAGGGAUAGUUGGGGGCAUUAGUACUUAACUGCUAGAGGUGAAAUUCUCAGAUUUGUUAAAGACUAACUUAUGCGAAAGCAUUUGCCAAGGAUGUUUUCAUUA